GCCGACGUGGUGGAAUUGGUAGACACGCCGUCUUGAGGGGGCGGUGGCGAAAGCCGUGAGAGUUCGAGUCUCUCCGUCGGCACCA
rnacentral:tRNA from 1 species